UGAAUACUAUGCUUUUGUUUAGUCAGUUUCUGUUCUCUUAACAAAAAUAUUCCCCUGUCUUCGGUGGGGGACGAGAAGGCUCUCUUACUUUUUUUCUUCUUUUUCUUUAAUCCUGAUAUAUUGGUAGGGGUUUCUAAUCAUAGUACUCUUCUGCCUCCUUGCCUCAGGGCUGUGCACAUGACCCAGCCCCCCUAUUGGAUUAGACAAUCAUAUCCACCUGGACAUUGUGAUUGGUUUGGUAGUGGGGAUUUAACCCAAGCUGGGCCAAUCAAAAUACUUCCCUGAGAUUUUUUUUUUCCCUAAGUGACUCCAUGUGGGAAAAUUUUUCUUUAUUCCUUUGCUUCAAGAAAGCUGAAAGUAUAUACUAGUUCUAUGUGUCUCACCAAUUGGAUAAACUGAGAGAAUGAUGAAAGGCAGGAAGAGACAAGCCUGAUCUUUUCAACAGCAUAGUUCUGAGACUCGGAAAUGACUGUCUCUUUGUGUAUAUUCUUGACGUACAAAUGGAGGCCCAACAUUGCUGUUCCAGAAGGGAAUUGGUGGGUAGAUGGAUGUCCAGCCAGCAUAUGAGGCCAAGAUAUUCACUUCAUGUUGAAUCCAGAAUUACGGCCAACUGGAGGUGCUGUAUGACAUUACCUGAAAGACAAAAGUCACAUUUUUGCAAUGAAUGAGAACUGGAACUACCC
rnacentral:lncRNA from 12 species